rnacentral:rRNA from 1 species
ACGAACGCUGGCGGCGUGCCUAAUACAUGCAAGUCGAGCGGACUGAUUAAGAGCUUGCUCUUAUGACGUUAGCGGCGGACGGGUGAGUAACACGUGGGCAACCUGCCCUGUAGAUCGGGAUAACACCGAGAAAUCGGUGCUAAUACCGGGUAAUAUCUGAGAUCACAUGAUCUUAGGUUAAAAGAUGGCUCCGGCUAUCACUACAGGAUGGGCCCGCGGCGCAUUAGCUAGUUGGUAAGGUAAUGGCUUACCAAGGCGACGAUGCGUAGCCGACCUGAGAGGGUGAUCGGCCACACGGGGACUGAGACACGGCCCAGACUCCUACGGGAGGCAGCAGUAGGGAAUCUUCCGCAAUGGACGAAAGUCUGACGGAGCAACGCCGCGUGAGUGAUGAAGGGGUUCGGCUCGUAAAGCUCUGUUGUUAGGGAAGAAACAGUACCGAACGAACUAGGUCGGUACCUUGACGGUACCUAACCAGAAAGCCACGGCUAACUACGUG